CUAACCACUCUUAUCCAACUUAUACACACACGUAAUUUCCCCUUCCACACCUCUUUGCUCCUCAAUGAGCCACGCCCCCUCCACACUUGUUCAUUUCUCACCGCUACUCACUCACCCACCGCCAAUCUCUCUCCCAAAAUACACACAACACAACUUUAGCAAAUAAAAUGGAAAAGAAAAGAAGAGAAAGUAGAGGAAGGGGAAACGACAGAUGGAGAUCGAGAGAGAAGAAGGGGGUUCGGGGAGAAGAGAAGAGAGGAAGGAGGAAGGAACGGUGCCGACUGGGGCCUCGCCGCCGUCGCCGUUUCCGUCGUUGCAUAAGGGAAGAGAGAGACUCGCGGUGGAGUGAGAAAGAAAGCUAGGCGCGACAAAGAGGAAGCUACCGCUGAAGCCACUAAGCUGUCACCAUCGCUGGAUCCACGACCGCCGCCGAGGAUUCCGUCACUGUCGUUCUAGCACCACCGUUGCGGGUAGCGUGGCCGCCGCUAUCAAACCCUAGCCGCUGCUGUCACGCCUGUCACUGGAAGUCUUUAACGUCGCCACUGUCCGCUGCUAGAAGGGGAUCUCGUCGCUGCGUUGGAGUCAUCGCCCCCGUCGCGCCAAUCGCCGUGCACCACCGUCGUCGCGGAGCUGAAGGAGCCAUCGCCAUCGAAUAGAGCAGGGAGAGAGAGAAAGAGUUGCGAAAGAGAGAACAGGAGGCGACGGGGGCCUUUGCCGCCGCUGCUUCAGUCACUGCCACCGUCGGCUGAGCUCGCUCUCGCUGGAGGGGAGCCGGUGUCGUGUCCUUGCCGCUCUGAAUCACCAGUGCCGCUGCUACUCCAAAUUCCACUUUUGUUCUAUUAAGGUUUGCUAUUUCAGCUGCUUUGAAGCUACUACCGGUUCUAUUAAAGGCUUCUGCCGCAAAUGCCACCACCAGCAUCACCGUCCUUCUUAUCAUGGUCUCAAUUCUGUCAUUCUUGAACCUACCAUGAUUUUAUCUUUGUCCUAUUCCAAUUUUGUUGGUCUCUGCCAAGUUGUUCUAAUUUCAUCAGUAUAUAUAUACAUCUCUAUUUUAGUACUACCGUUGUGUCUUGCUGUCUUCUGCUGGAACCGAUGAAAUUGUAGUUACAGUUGCAUCUGCAAUGUUGUGAUGUGAUGAAGGUUGCCACUACCAUGACUUAAAAGGAAAAGGCGUUCACAGCAUUUAGUCUCAUGGGUUUCGAAAACCUGAGAUCUUCUGUUUUCAGCAACUGGUCCGGGAAUUUUUGGCGAAGAGCCGCGACCAAUCCACAGAGUCUUGUAAAUAUAUGUAUUCGUAUUACCUGUAUUUGGUUUAGUCCUAGGAUUUACUUUCCCCUCGUCAUUCAUUGUUUUGAAUUUUAGAGGGGCAUGACUUGUAAUUGAGAGUCUUAGAAUAAGUCUAUAUAUAUAAAGUUAUGUAAAUAUAUACUUCUGUGGUUAAGAGUUAUAAAAUAAAGUCUCCUUUCAAUUUCUUGU